rnacentral:rRNA from 1 species
AUACGGGGGAAGGGUGCAAGCGUUACUCGGAAUUACUGGGCGUAAAGCGCGCGUAGGCGGUUUGUUAAGUCUGACGUGAAAUCCCCGGGCUCAACCUGGGACGUGCGUUGGAAACUGGCGAUCUAGAGUACGGUAGAGGGUGGUGGAAUUCCCGGUGUAGCAGUGAAAUGCGUAGAGAUCGGGAGGAACACUCGUGGCGAAGGCGGCCACCUGGACCAGUACUGACGCUGAGGCACGAAAGCGUGGGGAGC